rnacentral:rRNA from 1 species
GAUGAACGCUGGCGGCGUGCCUAAUACAUGCAAGUCGAGCGAACAGACGAGGAGCUUGCUCCUCUGACGUUAGCGGCGGACGGGUGAGUAACACGUGGAUAACCUACCUAUAAGACUGGGAUAACUUCGGGAAACCGGAGCUAAUACCGGAUAACAUGUUGAACCGCAUGGUACAACAGUGAAAGACGGUCUUGCUGUCACUUAUAGAUGGAUCCGCGCCGCAUUAGCUAGUUGGUAAGGUAACGGCUUACCAAGGCAACGAUGCGUAGCCGACCUGAGAGGGUGAUCGGCCACACUGGAACUGAGACACGGUCCAGACUCCUACGGGAGGCAGCAGUAGGGAAUCUUCCGCAAUGGGCGAAAGCCUGACGGAGCAACGCCGCGUGAGUGAAGAAGGUCUUCGGAUCGUAAAACUCUGUUAUUAGGGAAGAACAAAUGUGUAAGUAACUAUGCACGUCUUGACGGUACCUAAUCAGAAAGCCACGGCUAACUACGUG